rnacentral:rRNA from 1 species
AUUGAACACUGGCGGCAGGCUUAACACAUGCAAGUCGAGCGGAGAUGAGGUGCUUGCACCUUAUCUUAGCGGCGGACGGGUGAGUAAUGCUUAGGAAUCUGCCGAUUAGUGGGGGACAACAUUCCGAAAGGAAUGCUAAUACCGCAUACGCCCUAUGGGGGAAAGCAGGGGAUCUUCGGACCGUGCGCUAAUAGAUGAGCCUAAGUCGGAUUAGCUAGUUGGUGGGGUAAAGGCCUACCAAGGCGACGAUCUGUAGCGGGUCUGAGAGGAUGAGCCGCCACACUGGGACUGAGACACGGCCCAGACUCCUACGGGAGGCAGCAGUGGGGAAUAUUGGACAAUGGGCGGAAGCCUGAUCCAGCCAUGCCGCGUGUGUGAAGAAGGCCUUUUGGUUGUAAAGCACUUUAAGCGAGGAGGAGGCUACCUGGAUUAAUACUCUAGGAUAGUGGACGUUACUCGCAGAAUAAGCACCGGCUAACUCUGUGCCAGCAGCCGCAGUAACAC